rnacentral:tRNA from 40 species
GGGCGUAUAGCUCAGCGGGAGAGCACUACGUUGACAUCGUAGGGGUCACAGGUUCAAUCCCUGUUACGCCCACCA